AAUUCGUGCAUUGGAUACUUUCGUAGCAACUCCUUAAAACACUCCCAAGCUUUAUAUAAAUUCUCGUCAUCUAACUGCUUGAACAAAGUAAUAUCAUUUCGUAUCC